AGGGAUGCAAAGCUGUGAAGUGGAGCGAACCCCUAAAAGCCGUCCCAGUUCAGAUCGCAGUCUGCAACCCGACUGCGUGAAGUCGGAAUCGCUAGUAAUCGCGGAUCAGCAUGCCGCGGUGAAUACGUUCCCGGGCCUUGUACACACCGCCCGUCACACCAUGAGAGUCGGGAACACCCGAAGUCCGUAGCCUAACCGCGAAGGGGGCGCGGCCGAAGGUGGGUUCGAUAAUUGGGGUGAAGUCGUAACAAGGUAUC
rnacentral:rRNA from 1 species